rnacentral:sRNA from 1 species
UGUCCCGGCCUUGGACACCCGCCGGUCACAAUGGGAAGGGUGAACAGAAGACAGGUAGCUAUCUCGGGAGGGCUUGGCACGGUUUGCCGAUGACUGGGGAGUCGUAACAAGGGUAGCGGUAUCGAAGUGCGGCUUGAUCACCUCCUUUGAGCAUGGAGGUCAUCGUCUUGCGGGGCGUUCCUUCACAAAAUACCUGCAUUCAGAAGAUGCGUAUCGGCACAGCGGUAUGCGAAAGUCCCAUCAUGGGCUUAGCUCAGCUGGGAGAGCACCUUGCUUUGCAAGCAGGGGGUCGUCGGUUCGAUCCCGACAGGCUCCACCAUUUGAGUGAAACGACUUUGGGUCUGUAGCUCAGGUGGUUAGAGCGCACCCCUGAUAAGGGUGAGGUCGGUGGUUCGAGUCCUCCCAGACCCACCACUCUGAAUGUAGUGCACACUUAAGAAUUUAUAUGGCUCAGCGUUGAGGCUGAGACAUGUUCUUUUAUAACUUGUGACGUAGCGAGCGUUUGAGAUAUCUAUCUAAACGUGUCGUUGAGGCUAAGGCGGGGACUUCGAGUCCCUAAAUAAUUGAGUCGUAUGUUCGCGUUGGUGGCUUUGUACCCCACACAACACGGCAUGUGACCCUGAGGCAACUUGGGGUUAUAUGGUCAAGCGAAUAAGCGCACACGGUGGAUGCCUAGGCGGUCAGAGGCGAUGAAGGACGUGGUAGCCUGCGAAAAGUGUCGGGGAGCUGGCAACAAGCUUUGAUCCGGCAAUAUCCGAAUGGGGAAACCCACUGCUUCGGCAGUAUCCUGCAGUGAAUUCAUAGCUGCUGGAAGCGAACCCGGUGAACUGAAAUAUCUAAGUAACCGGAGGAAAAGAAAUCAACCGAGAUUCCCUAAGUAGUGACGAGCGAACGGGGAGCAGCCCUUAAGCUGGAAUGGCUUUAGAAAAACAAUCUGGAAAGAUUGGCCAUAGAAGGUGAUAGCCCUGUAUUUAAAAGGGCCACUCCAGUGAAGACGAGUAGGGCGGGGCACGUGAAACCCUGUCGAAUAUGGGGGGACCAUCCUCCAAGGCUAAAUAUCCGACCGACCGAUAGAACAGACGG